AAGUCGUAACAAGGUAUCUGUAGGUGAACCUGCAGAUGGAUCAUUUUGAUGAAAACCUUUUUUCUCUUGAGGUGUGGCUCGCACCUGUCUAACUAAACUUGAGCUACCUUUUUUCAACACGGUUGCAUCGGUUGGCCUGUCAAACAGUGCGGCGGCGUGGAUUUUCACGUCUGCUUUGGCUGGGCGACGGACCGACACUUAAUCAACACUUUUGAUGAUCUAGGAUUUGAAUGAUAAAAGUUCAUUUUUACAAUGAAAUCGACUGGUAAUGCGGUCGUCUAAUUUUUAAAAACAA
rnacentral:misc_RNA from 1 species